GUGCCAGCAGCCGCGGUAAGACGUAGGUGGCAAGCGUUGUUCGGAAUCACUGGGCAUAAAGCGCGCGUAGGCGGCCGAGUCAGUCGGGUGUGAAAUCCCCCAGCUCAACUGGGGAACUGCGCCCGAUACUGCUCGGCUUGAGGGUCGGAGGGGAGAGUGGAAUUCCCGGUGGAGCGGUGAAAUGCGUAGAGAUCGGGAAGAACGCCGGCGGCGAAAGCGACUCUCUGGUCGACCCCUGACGCUGAGGCGCGAAAGCUAGGGGAGCAAACGGGAUUAGAUACCCGUGUAGUCC
rnacentral:rRNA from 1 species